ensembl:rRNA 5S_rRNA 5S ribosomal RNA
GCUUACGGCCAUACCACUCUGACAAGCCCGAUCUCAUAUGACCUCGGAAGCAAAGUAAAGUUGGGCCUGGUUAGUACUUGGUUGGGAGACUGAAUGGAAUACUAGGUGCUGUAAGCG